rnacentral:lncRNA from 1 species
UAUCCCCUUCCCAGCAUAUCCUCUUUCUGCACAGUUUAAAUAUGGAACCACAAGUUGCAGUUUGCCUUCAGUGGAAGUUAUUAGCCGUAUCGAAUGUCAGCCACCUUUGUUGCCCUCUGAGAAAGGACCCAGAAGACAUAACAUUAAUCUUGUUUACUGUGUUGAUCAUCAGAUCACAUGCAGCAGUCCUGGUCUACCCAUCAGCCUAAGGAUUAUAGGAAGGUUAAACAAGGAUUCUAGAACAUUUCAUCAUUAAUCAUUAAUCAUCAAUCAUAAAACAUUCACUGGCUGUUUUUCUACAUUAGAUGCCCAUGGGCGAUAACUGCUAGACUGGGUGACAUAACAGAGCAGACAGGGGGAAAGUGACUCACCCCUGGAUUGUAUAACAAGCGCCCCUUCUUUACCAUAGGGGUUUUGGUGACGCAAAACAAGGACGCUCCUUUUCUCUCCGUAUUUAAGAUGAACAAUAGGACUUAUCAGUUGAGCAGAAACAUAUUUACCCCACAGCCAUGAGCUCCUGCCAAGGGAAUAUGAAGAGGUAAUAGAAGUGUAGCACGAUGCAUUCACAAAGGCAAUAUCUGGUUGGUUGUGUAUUUUGCUUGUUGGAUUGGUUCCUAUUUCCCAUUAUGUGUGAUGAUGAUAUUAGUGAUUUAGGCUCGCCCUCAUAUUUCAUUAUUAUUAUUCUGAGGAUAUUAUGUUCAAAUUGUUGUAUCAACCCACUUUAAGCAUGCACGCAAUGGUUAAACAAUUUUUUCUGUUGAAUAUUUGUAUAUUGGAGAAGUUGUAUAUUGUUAGUGGUAACAAUCCAGUGGGAAACCUUGUUUUAUAUGGACCAUUUUUUGUUGAGUGUCUUGUAUAAGAGAAUGCCAUGGGGUAUACAAAUACAUUUGAUGUGUAUAUAGAGUACACAUAUAGAACUAAAGCAAUACUACUUGACGUCAACAAACAUUUGAUGUAUUUGAUGGGGAUUGCAUUGAAACAAUAUGUUACUUUGGACUAUCAUGUAGGUCCAUGGUGACUAUAAAUGGACAAACAACAGCAUUGUUUAUUCAAAUUGGAAUACAUAAAACCUGAAAUGGACACUUAUUGUGUAUCAUCUAAUAAACACAAUGUGAUUUGAUAAGUAUGGGCUAAUGAAACAGCAACAUGGGGGUCUUGAAGCCGACCAAUUUUCCAGAGGGAAACCUGAAACAUGCAAAGACAUUGGUGGGGACG